UAAUUUUGUUUAUUAAAUGUUUACUCUUCAAUUUGCAGAAGACACGCAACAAAACAGGAUUGCAGUUGAAGUGUUUGCUGGCUCAUUAUGUGCUGUUGUGAUUGUUAUGGUUGUAGCAUUCACAAUAUUUUAUCAAUCAAGACGAAAGACAAUUUUAAAGAAUUUUCGAGACAAUUCCAAGCAUAGUGGUUCGACCCUGUACGAAAAUAGAAUCGAAUUGGACCAAUCUAACUACCAGGAUCUGACUCCGGCCAGGGACGCUGAUGAUCAAUCAUAUGCUGUCACGCUCAACACUAAUACAUAUUACAACAUUAACUCAUAGGAAUCCAAACAAGUUGAAUUAAAUGGAAUAUUUAAAGAAGACUAGGUAUAAAAUCCUAUAUAAUAAUUACAUAUUCGAGUUAGUAUUAUAGUGUUAUUAACUGCCUGUUUCUGUAUUGGCCCUGUUAUAGAUUCAAGGUUAGCUGUAUUGGACCCGAGACUCGAAGAGUUCAGUUCAUAACACUUUUAUUAAAUGAUUUUAAGAAAAUUAAAAACCGGAAGUGAACGUUCCGUAUUAGCCCAUGGGCCAAUACGGCUUUUUUUCCAUAUUGGCCCUGUUUUUCCGUUUCAAGACUUUAAGACGUUACAAAACAUUGCACAUCAUUUAACCUGUUUAUUUUAUGAUUUUAAUUCAAAAAAUAUAAUACACAUGUUUUUAUGCAUAACGAUACCACCAAAGUUAAGUAAUGGCGUAAGAAAAUUGAAACCGGAAGUGAACGUCCAGUAUUAGGCCAUUGGCCAAUACGGCUUUUUUCCGUAUUGGCCCUGUUUUUUCCGUAUUGGCCUUGUUUUUUCCGUAUUGGCCCUGUUCGAAAAGCAAUAUAAACUCUUGAUUUAUAUCUACAAUGGAAUGUUUUCAGUAUUGCACAUGCUGACUUAUCCGUAUUAGGGCUUAUUUGCUCAUAUCAUUUAAUAAUUGUUUUUAUUAAACACAAUGACUAUGAUAAUCUUUGUGACAAACAAUCAAAUAAAGAUAAUAUUAAGAUAAAAUAAGAUACCACGCACAUUCACAUAUGGGUCAUUUCCAAAAUCAGUCAAUAUUCUUUUACGGCUGACCUGUGAGGAAAUGUAGGCUUUGUCAUUAUUUGAAUGUUGGUGUCUUGCAUAGUGCACCGUAAGUUAUACUACUUGCAGAAGAAAAAUAAGGAAAAGGUACAUGGGUUUUCUUUGAAAUCGUGCUCAAAGCUCUAAAAUUACCCCAAACUACAUGUCCCCACUCCAAAAAUACCAAAUAUCAAAAUAGACAUUUUUGUAAUUACACAAAUCUUACAAUUUUCUGUUUUAAGAUAGAAAAUAAAAUGUAGAAUGAUAUUAUAAAGGCUUUAGAUAGUAGCUUGCUAUGAUUUCAGAUUUAUUUUAAUUUUUUAUAGUGUCCUUGAUAUUUUGUCAACUACAUAACGAAAACGUGUUUGCUUGCUAUAAUAUAACUUCUGACACCCCUUUUGAACUAGAAAGUGCCUCAGCACUAACUCCACAUAUCAUUAUAAUAAUGGAAGCAUAAAAAGAUAACUCUGUAAAUGGUAUCAACAAUUAUUGGCAUUUACGUUGGUAGCGGUAGCCCCGUAUUUUUUAACUUGUCCACUUAGCUUGGCAACGGGAUUUUUUUUUUCAAGAUAACAAUGCAAUAUCACGUCCACAUCUAUAUCAUUAUAUUAAUAAAUUGUCUGUGUUUUAUAGAAAAGCACAGUGUAAUAUGAUGUCAAAGUAUCAGUGGUAUUAAAAAAUGCCCCAUAGAGUGAAUACGCCUACUACCUCACGGUCAACUACAUAACAAUUGACCUAAUUUUGUUAUGUAGUUGACAUCCUUCAGUUGUUCAUAAGACCUAGUUCUGGUAGACAUCAGUGUUAAUAUUUUUUAAUUUGGUGUUGCAUAUUUGCUUUAGGGCUUAAAACUUCUUGAAUUUAGUGCAAAACUGCAUAAACUGCCAAAAAAGCCUCAUUUUGAAAUCGUGUCGUUUACAUUUAGAUAUGAGCAGCAGCUGUACCAACAAAGAUAUAUUGUUACAUGUUACAUUUAUUUGCGUAAAAUAUCUUUGAGUAAAGCUGUUGCUUAUGUCUAUUUUUCCCAAAACAAUGUGUAAAACGGUAAUUUCAGGUCAAAUAUGUCAAUUUCAACAUGUUUAUGAUAUCACAGCGACAUCAUUAGUGUCUGUGACCUUUCUGCACUUAAGUGUCCAGAUAGUAUUAAUCUGUCCAUUUAUCAAUUACAUUAACAUUAUUUUAAAAGGCUUCAGAAUUUUCCAUUCGUGUUACAGACACACACUUCUUAAUUCUAUUAAGCUGUUUUUGCGUACUGUCCUAAACUAUUUUAGCUAUUCGUUAUUAUUCUGUGGUUAACAUGUCAAAAUGUACUAUUACAUUAUUUAUUUAUGUAUUUCUCUGUCUUUGGUGUUUUUGCAUUUAUUUGUACUGUGUCCCGUCAUGUAAUGUUGUCAUUUUAACGGCAUAUUUAACAUUACCAUUAAGCGCGGAGGUUUUGCUAGCCACAAAAGCAGGUUCAACCAACCAUUUUUUUAUUAAAAUGUCAUGUACCAAGUCAGGAAUAUGGUAGUUAUCUAAUAGUUCGUUUCUAUGAAUGUUGCAUUGUUGUUUGUUUUUUGUUGCACUUCUGUGGUCUGUUAUUUCGUUGUUUUCCUCUUAUAGUUGAUGUGUUUCCCUCGGUUUGCUUUAGUUUGUAACCCAGAUUUGUUUUCUCUCAAUCGAUUUAUGACUUUUGAACAGCGGUAUACUACUGUUGCCUUUAUUUACUAUAAUUACUGAAAUCUCUAUGGAUCUUUUUUGUUCGACUUAUACGCAUGUUGUGCCGACAUUGUCCGCGUUUAUAAUCAUAUGAACGAAAACUUGACACAACAGAAGGAUAGCUGCUUUCAGAUAGCUUAUACCACCACUCAUCACCCUUUUAUAAUGUCUAGAUUAUUACAAUGAAAGUUUACUUGUUUUAAAGAGAAUCAAUUUUUAACUAUGACAUUGUCCUAUGUGUAUUUUAUUUCAUUGUACAUUAUUCAUUGUAUAUGCUCUUAGACGCAUUUGUAGGUACCCUGCCUGCAAGUGCCCCCCGUUGUAAAGGGGUAGUUUCUUAAUAAAUAUAUAUAUAUUACAAAUACACAUGAACAAGUGAUCUUAUGUCUUGGAAGGUUGAGAAGACUGAACAAAAUGGUAAUUAAUGUAUUAGUAACUGUAGUGAUUCGGAUCAAAAGUUAUUUGUUCAUUGCCCUAUUGAUAUUUUUAAAUAUUCAUUACAUAUUGAUUUAAUAAACUUUUUUUUUAAAUUUGUAUUAAUUACACCUAUAUUUAAAGUUUUGUUAUUUUGUGAUAUGUGAUUUUGAAGAUUUUGUUGUAAUCUUUAUCAUGGAUGUAAUUUAAACUUCACUCUUCGCUGAUUAAAGAAUUGGAAUAGAAAACUGAUUUUUUGGGAUAAAUCUGUAACUUGAUAAAUCAGGCUUUUUUUUAAAUUUUAAAGUGUGCACCACAUUUUUUAUGUUAUUUCGAAUAGACAGAAAAAAUAUUACAGUCAUUCCUUAAAAUUUAAUUCUUAAUUCCAUUUUAUGCCGGACUAAAUUAUGAAAAAACGUUGAUGAAGUCACGGUCAAAUGACAAAAUUACGUAUAUGAGCUGAUAGACAAAACACUUUCAGCCAAUCAGAAGACGUGUUACAUCCAAAAUUAAAUUAUUCACAGAUGUAUUUUGAUUUAUUGUUUCUACCCCAGGAAAAGAUUACCGUAACUUGGUCCUCAAUACUCUUCAGCUUCGGACUGUAUUCAGCCAUAUAUUUUUUUAAUUCGAAAGUCACCAAUGAGUCUUUUGUAAGUGCGUCUGACGUACAAAAUUAUAAUCCUGGCAUCUUUAAAUGUUACAUCAUUGGCCUUUUUUUGAAAAAUACUGGAGAAAAAACAUCUUCGUGACGUGUUUAAAUAAAUAAAACAAGAAUGUGUCCAUAGUACACGGAUGCCCCACUCGCACUAUCAUUUUCUAUGUUCAGUGGACCGUGCCAUUGGGGUCAAAACUCUAAUUUGGCAUUGAAAUUGGAAAGAUCAUAUCAUAGGGAACAUGUGUACUAAUUAAAGUUUCAAGUUGAUUGGACUUCAACUUCAACUUCAUCAAACAGUACCUUAACCAAAAACUUUAACCUGAAGCGGGACAGACGGACGGACGGACGAACGGACGCACAGACCGAAAAACAUAAUGCCCCUAGGUGGUGCAUAAAAAUGUCAUUUGAUAUUCAGAUCAACACGAUAAGUGUACAUAAGAUGUACUACAAUAGUUAGAUCUGCUUAACCUUCCUGAGCAUCUGAGAUCACCACCAGUUUUGGUGGGGAUCGUGUGGCUUAGUCUUAUAGGUUUUAUUUAGUGAUUUUUUUUUGUCGUUUCGUCGUCUAUUGCAUUUUUCAUUUGGCACGGCGUCGUCAGUUUCUCUUUGACUUGUAAGUUUUUGGAUGUCCCCUUCUGUUUCUUUUUUUUUGUCAUUUAGUUAGUCACGUUUUAGAACGAUAUUAGAAACAUCAGUCUAAAAUUGAUAUGCAAAGAGAAGUUUUUCUACAUUUAAUCCGUUUAUAACAUAUCAUCUUAUCAACACAAUAGAAUACCCCCACCUCUUAUGCAUUGUGUUUUCUUGUUAACCUAUUUAAUAUAUAAGCUGAUAUAUUUAACAAAUAAAAUUGUCUAGUUUACAACUUAAGAUAUAUAUUGCUUAAUUGUAUAGUCCUUUACAUUUUUGAACAAGAUUAUAUUACGUCUGCUAUUAUUUUCACAAAUAAUUUUGUGCAUCGUGAGAAAAUGUUAUAUUGCCUUACUAACUUACCCGCUUACUUAACAAAGCAAUUAUACAUUAACAUUAUCAUAUUGAUUAAAGUAGAUACACAUUAGUGAGAAAGAAAACCCAUCGACACAUACCGGUAUUACCAAAAAUACAGCUAUUUAAUGUGUCUACACAAACUAGAAAAGGAAAAAAAAUACAUUGUAUAUUAUAAUUAUAACUGUGUAUUUCAAUUUUCAAUGUCGUCAGUAUCUAUACUUUGUAAGUAGAUAUAAAAUGAGGGUUUUUGUUUUUGUCUAUUUUUUGUACAAAAACAUGCUGUGCAUUGAAAAUAAGACAGAAUAAAUGAUUGAAGGCAUAUUAAAGAUUAUCUAUAAGCAGUUAGAGUUAUCUUCCAUGUUAUAUUAAAAUUUUCAAUAAAAAAAUUUUAUGACAAAAUAUUUUUUUAUAUACUUUUUUAACUACCAUGUAAUAUUUGUAUUAGUUUUAUGAAUUGACGAACGAAC